rnacentral:rRNA from 1 species
GACGAACGCUGGCGGCGUGCCUAACACAUGCAAGUCGAACGGAGUUAAGUCUUCGGAUUUAACUUAGUGGCGAACGGGUGAGUAACGCGUGAGAAACCUGCCUUUCAGUGGGGGACAGCAGUUGGAAACGACUGCUAAUACCGCAUAAUGUCAUUUGGGGGCAUCCCUGGAUGACCAAAGAUUUAUUGCUGAAGAUGGUCCCGCGUCUGAUUAGCUAGAUGGCGGGGUAACGGCCCACCAUGGCGACGAUCAGUAGCCGGCCUGAGAGGGUGAACGGCCACAUUGGGACUGAGACACGGCCCAA